rnacentral:rRNA from 1 species
UACGUAGGGCGCAAGCGUUGUCCGGAAUUAUUGGGCGUAAAGAGCUCGUAGGCGGCUUGUCACGUCGGGUGUGAAAGCCCGGGGCUUAACCCCGGGUCUGCAUUCGAUACGGGCUAGCUAGAGUGUGGUAGGGGAGAUCGGAAUUCCUGGUGUAGCGGUGAAAUGCGCAGAUAUCAGGAAGAACACCAGUGGCGAAGGCGGCCGGCUGGGGGCGCCCUGACGCUGAGGCGCGAGAGCGUGGGGAGCAAACCGG